rnacentral:lncRNA from 1 species
AAUUAACUCAAUUAGUUGAAUCAUUCUAGGUGAAACAUUCAGUUCAAAACAAUUCAAUCAAUGAUCAAAUAUCGAUAUGUACCUUAAGAGUUUUAUAACUUGACAAAUAAUCUGUAUUAUGGUUUUAAAAUAUAUAAAUUUUGAUUACACAUUCAUCUUAUGCUUUAUUUGUAGCACAUUAAGUAUAGUAAUAAAAGAAAUAUUGUGAAGACUCUUUAUGCUACUACUAAUUGUUAAUACU